rnacentral:tRNA from 15 species
GCGCCGUUAGCUCAGUUGGUAGAGCAGCUGACUCUUAAUCAGCGGGUCCGGGGUUCGAAACCCUGACGGCGCACC